rnacentral:tRNA from 1 species
GGUGGCUCAGUGGUAGAGCGCUUGCCUUGCAUGCAUGAGGCCCUGGGUUCAGCCCUCAGUACCA